AAGAGAGAAGUGUUAUUGGUGACACAGCUGGCUUGAAACCAGUGGUUGAGGGUUCGAUUCCUUCCUCUUUUA
rnacentral:tRNA from 1 species